rnacentral:lncRNA from 1 species
GCCUUCCUCUUUUAGAGAGCCUGGAAAUCUAAACACUCAACUUCCCAGAACUCUGUAGGUCCAAUGAGGAAACUGAGGCACAGGACAAUAGGCUUGCCCUAGCAUAUAAUCACAUAGCUGAGCCCACAGUGAGAACCUUCAACUUGAGUGUUCUUGGCCCCACACCUCAUCUGCUCCAUGGCUUUUCCUGUCUUGCAUGUGACCUUCACAGUAUGGCGAUGAAGGGUGAUGAGCAGCCACACCACUGCCCCAUUCACCUGCUCAGGAAGACACUCCCCACAACUCACUGGGACAUGAGAUUGGCUCCUGUUAGCUGGGAGCCAGGACUUCAGAAUUCAGCAACCAUUCUGGUAUGAGGUUUCUUAGUCAUUUGGGCAGUUUGCUUUCUUGAUCCUGUUUUCUGCUUUCCUUCUCUCUGUACCCUUCC